GUCCCUCUGGAGUGACAGAGGGAUAGACCAAUAAGAGACGGAGACAGCUCCGAGGUGGCCCAAUCAGAAAUCGGGAAAGGUGAAGGGCCUGUGCGCAAUCCGAAAGAGGAGAGGUUCUGAUGGAUCGGCAGCGCUUUGGACCAAUGAAAGUCGGCAACAGCUUCCAUCUGUCGGCGAUGUAAGCGAGAAGAGAGGAUGAAAAGUUAGGCGGAGCUUAAGGUGACUGGCAGGUGGAUGGACAAUUUAUGUAUUGUCCAAUCAGCACUUCACACACAGGGACACGGGAGACGGAGGCGGGAUUUGGCGUGUAUGUGGAAGAGUGAGUACAACGAGAGUAAUCAUGCUAAAGCACCUAUCGCUAUAGCACAGUAAAACAGCGGAAGAUGCCAAAGGAAGAUGUCUUCAAGGAAAAGAAGGGAAGGAAUGUGAUGGAGGAAACCUGUCAAUCGAGAAGGGAAUGCUUUAGGGAAUGUGAGCUUCCUGCCUCAAAAUUUUGUAAUGGAAAAGGAAAACUUAUGAUUGGAAAGUGACCUGUUGUGUUUGUGGAAGCUCUGGAAUCCCACAGGAGAAGGAUCACUCAACACCAUGGCAAUCUGCCAAGUACAACUUGUUCUGAAACACAGUGGCUCUGAGAAGAUGCAUUAUCAUCUGAAACACAAUGUCAUCGUAGUGGGAGGUAGGAUACUAUUGAUUACACUGGUCUACAAUUUUUGAGAAGUCGUCUGCUUCAGAGAUAAAAUGUGAUAUUUAUUAUGUAUUUUGAUGUGCUGAAUUCAAAUAUGACAAUUAAAACAACUGAUUGGCUACUAUUUCUAAGAUAUUUAAGUUUUUACAUUUUAUGUCUAUGUAUAUUGUGUAGAUAGUAGAGUUUUAAUCAUAAAUUGUAAACCUAGAUCUUUUAAUGUGUUUAUGGUUGCUUUACAUGAUAAUAUUUCACCUGUCCUGUUUAUGUAACACUUUAAAAAUCAGCAAAAGGGGUAUAUAAAUAAAAUGUAUUAUGAAACA